GGCGAACGGGUGAGUAACGCAUCGGAACGUACCGAGUAAUGGGGGAUAACGCACCGAAAGGUGUGCUAAUACCGCAUACGCCCUGAGGGGGAAAGUGGGGGAUCGCAAGACCUCACGUUAUUCGAGCGGCCGAUGUCUGAUUAGCUAGUUGGUGAGGUAAAGGCUCACCAAGGCGACGAUCAGUAGCGGGUCUGAGAGGAUGAUCCGCCACACUGGGACUGAGACACGGCCCAGACUCCAUAACGGGAGGCAGCAGUGGGGAAUUUUGGACAAUGGGCGAAAGCCUGAUCCAGCCAUUCCGCGUGUCUGAAGAAGGCCUUCGGGUUGUAAAGGACUUUUGUCAGGGAGCAAAUCCUAACGGCUAAUAUCCGUUGGGGAUGAGAGUACCUGAAGAAUAAGCACCGGCUAACUACGUGCCAGCCGCCGCGG
rnacentral:rRNA from 1 species